UACGAAGGGAGCUAGCGUUGUUCGGAAUUACUGGGCGUAAAGGGCGCGUAGGCGGCCGUUUAAGUUAGAUGUGAAAGCCCCGGGCUUAACCUGGGAAUUGCAUUUAAUACUGAAUGGCUUGAGAUCGAGAGAGGAAAGUGGAAUUGUGAGUGUAGAGGUGAAAUUCGUAGAUAUUCACAAGAACACCAGUGGCGAAGGCGGCUUUCUGGCUCGAUACUGACGCUAAGGCGCGAAAGCGUGGGGAGCAAACAGG
rnacentral:rRNA from 1 species